rnacentral:rRNA from 1 species
GUGAACGCUGGCGGUAGGCCUAACACAUGCAAGUCGAACGGCAGCACAGUAAGAUCUUGCUCUUACGGGUGGCGAGUGGCGGACGGGUGAGGAAUACAUCGGAAUCUACUUUUUCGUGGGGGAUAACGUAGGGAAACUUACGCUAAUACCGCAUACGACCUACGGGUGAAAGCAGGGGAUCUUCGGACCUUGCGCGAUUGAAUGAGCCGAUGUCGGAUUAGCUAGUUGGCGGGGUAAAGGCCCACCAAGGCGACGAUCCGUAGCUGGUCUGAGAGGAUGAUCAGCCACACUGGAACGGAGACAAGGUCCAGACUCCGACGGGAGGCAGCAGUGGGGAAUAUGGGACAAUGGGCGCAAGCCUGAUCCAGCCAUACCGCGUGGGUGAAGAAGGCCUGCGGGUUGUAAAGCCCUUUUGUUGGGAAAGAAAAGCAGCAGGUUAAUACCCCGCUGUUCUGACGGUACCCAAAGAAUAAGCACCGGCUAACUUCGUG